rnacentral:misc_RNA from 1 species
AAGUCGUAUCAAGGUUUCCGUAGGUGAACCUGCGGAAGGAUCAUUAUCACGUAUCCACGUAUAAACCACUGCGAACCGUAUUCCCUUUAGAAGGGUUGGGGUCUCCUAACGGAGAGCUUUGGGCCAAUAGUCUUCUCAAUUUCGUGAUGGAGAAGCGGUCUAGAGUUUGUUUCACGACAACCUUGGUCCUUUUAAAGCGGUUAUUCAUCACGAACCGUACAAACUUAUUAACCCCUUUAAACUUUUUGAACUGAAUCUUUUAAGUCCAAAUCUUUGGUUCUUCGGAAUCGAAGCUGGCCUUAAAUACUUUACGAAAUAUUCGAACAAUUCUUAACAACGGAUAUCUUGGCUCUGAUAACGAUGAAGAACGCAGC